rnacentral:rRNA from 1 species
CGGAUGACUUGUGGUAGGGGCGAAGACUAAUCAAACUGGGAGAUAGCUCGUACUCUCCGAAAUGCCUUUUGGGGCAGCGUUUGGGAAUUUGAGUUUUAUAGAGGUAGAGCUACCGAUUGGGCUAGGGGGCUUCACCGCCUACCAAACCCUGACGAACUCCGAAUGCUAUAAAAUAUAUCCAGCAGUGAGGCAGCGAGUGAUAAGGCCCGUUGCCGAAAGGGAAACAACCCAGACCAUCAGCUAAGGUCCCAAAGUCUAUAUUAAGUUGCACAAACGUUGUCCGAUUGCUAUAACAGCUAGGAUGUUUGCUUGGAAGCAGCAAUCAUUUAAAGAGUGCGUAACAGCUCACUAGUCGAGUGAUCGGGCGCGGAAGAAUGACCGGGCAUAAAAUAUAGCACCGAAGCUAUGGAUUCGAAAGAAUGGUAGGAGAGCAUUCCAGCAUCUGUGAAGGUGAACCGU